CGCGCCCCCACCUGAUCCCGGGCUGGGACCCGCGCGGCUCCGCCGCGUCACUCACCUGCGGGAGCAGGGGCCGGGGAGCGGCGCCGCGGGGCCGCGCUGCGGACGGGCGGGCGGCCGGGCGGGCGGAGGGGGCGGGCGGCGGCGGCGGGUCCGCGCUCCGGGCGCUCGGCGCUCAGCGCUCAGUCGCCAUUUCCCGCCUACCGACCCGCUGCACCGCACCGAGGGACCCGGAUGGCAGCGGGGCCGCCGCGCAGGCGCGCCCGGCCGGGGGAGGGGGCCGGGCCGGGGCAGGCCGGGAAGGAGGGAACGGGGCCUGGCGCGGCGGCGGCGCCGGGGCCGGCGGCAGCGGGACCGGCAGCGGGACGGAGAGCAGCGCCCGGCGCCCGCGGUGCCCCGGCGGAGGAGGCGCGGCCGCUCCGGUGUCCUGGCGCCGGGCCGGGCCGGGAGGCAGCCUCUUUGUGUGGGAAAUGCUGAGGAUGCUGCGUGCUUUACUAUUUGAAGGGCUUAAUGAAGCAGCUUGGCCAUCUCUUGCAGUACAGCAGCAUGUAGUGAGGUUACAUUUCUCAGCUCAAUGCUACUGAACUUGGAUAUCUUAAUUUUUCUUUUGAUGAUCACUUUUACUUACCAGUCUUUGGAACAGAAAUCGGUUUUCAGGUUCCCCUGUGUUAUGACAGGAUAACAUCUCAAGGUGCUGCCCAGAGUGGAAGGUUUUUACAGGACUAUCUGGCAUCCUCUAAUUUAGCAGUGAAGAAACUUACACGGGUGUUGUGUUUCCUGGUACCUGUUGACUCCCUGCUUAGCUUUUGAACGUGGAUCACAUUAUAGAAGUCCCAGCUUUCUAGUCACCUAAAAUAUUCAUUGGCUUGUUAAAGAGAAGUACAUCUGCUGCUGUGAAGCCAAGAUUUGUUUUAGAAUUCUGUCACAGGACUCUGCUAGUCUGUCUUUAACAGAAGACACUAUAAAGCUAAUUUUACCAUAGAACUAUAAAGCUAAUUUUACCAUAGAAAAGAGGUUGUAGGAAGGCAGUGGAAACACAUUCAGAACAGGGAACCAUAUUCCUUUAGAGCAUUCAGGUAUUUCUUGUGAAUAUUUUGUGAAUGAUCAGCUGUGAAAAAGGUUAGUUUGGGCAUGUUGGAGCCUCAUUAAGAUGGUUUGGCAGUCCCUGAGGAGGAACCUG
rnacentral:lncRNA from 1 species